GUGGCUUCGACAGCACACAUGCUAAAAUUGGAACGAAACAGAGAUUAGCAUGGCCCUGAGCAAUGAUGACAUAUAAAUCCCAUGAAGCAUUCCAUAUUGAG
rnacentral:snRNA from 1 species